UACGGGGGGUGCGAGCGUUGUCCGGAAUCACUGGGCGUAAAGGGCGCGUAGGUGGUUUGAUAAGGGUGUGGUGAAAGCCCGGGGCUCAACCCCGGGUCUGCCGUGCCGACUGUCAAACUCGAGGGCUGUAGAGGCAGACGGAAUUCCGGGUGUAGCGGUGGAAUGCGUAGAGAUGUGGAGGAACACCAAUGGCGAAGGCAGCCUUCUGGGCCAACACUGACGCUCAUGCACGAAAGCGUGGG
rnacentral:rRNA from 1 species